AUGCACGCUGGCGGCGUGCCUAAUACAUGCAAGUCGCGCGAACAGACGAGGAGCUUGCUCCUCUGACGUUAGCGGCGGACGGGUGAGUAACACGUGGAUAUCCUACCUAUAAGACUGGGAUAACUUCGGGAAACCGGAGCUAAUACCGGAUAAUAUAUUGAACCGCAUGGUUCAAUAGUGAAAGACGGUUUUGCUGUCACUUAUAGAUGGAUCCGCGCCGCAUUAGCUAGUUGGUAAGGUAACGGCUUACCAAGGCGACGAUGCGUAGCCGACCUGAGAGGGUGAUCGGCCACACUGGAACUGAGACACGGUCCAGACUCCUACGGGAGGCAGCAGUAGGGAAUCUUCCGCAAUGGGCGAAAGCCUGACGGAGCAACGCCGCGUGAGUGAUGAAGGUCUUCGGAUCGUAAAACUCUGUUAUUAGGGAAGAACAAAUGUGUAAGUAACUAUGCACGUCUUGACGGUACCUAAUCAGAAAGCCACGGCUAACUACGUG
rnacentral:rRNA from 1 species